AAGUCGUAACAAGGUCUCCGUAGGUGAACCUGCGGAGGGAUCAUUACACAAUUAGAAUAUGAAGGCCCUUCAAACCGGCUGGAUUAUUUUUAUUCACCCUUGUCUUUUGCGCACUUGUUGUUUCCUGGGCGGGUUCGCUCGCCACCAGGACCACAUCAUAAACCUUUUUUGUUAAUGCAAUCAGCGUCAGUAUAACAAAUGUAAAUCAUUUACAACUUUCAACAACGGAUCUCUUGGUUCUG
rnacentral:misc_RNA from 1 species